UCCAGCAGAGAGUUGGAUACAGGGAUCAGAAGAUGACCCAGUGAGCGGAAGGGCUGGGGAACAGGAGUCGGGGUGCAACUUGGCUCCAGGUUCCAGGCAUUGCCAAGGAUGUGGUCUAGGAAGCCUGCUGCCCCCACAACUGCUCCUCAUGCCCACGACUGUGGGGCCCAGACUCAGAGCAUUCAACACAGAGCUGAUUUUCUCCGGCGUUAUGUCACAGCAAUGAAAAGCUGACCAAGGCAGGAAGUGGAUCGUGAAGCCCCUGCCUCACUUCAGGUGCUCUGGACCUCAGCCUUUGGACAUUCCAUCAGGGACCCCAUGAGGCACGGAGCAGAGACAAGCUGUCUCUCUGUGCCCUGUCGGAAUUCCCCACCUACAUACAAGUACAGCAUUUUUUUUUUCCUGCAGUUUUAAUAGCAGCAGCCUGAGUGUUGUAACCCAGCCGUCCAUUUGAUAAGGAACCCAGGAAGCUCUCUCCGGGGGAGUGAGGCAGGGAAGGAAGGAGGUCCGUGCACGUCUGCUCUCAGGUCCCCUCAGGCUAUGUCGGGAUGCCACCUGCUCCCUUAAUGCAGAGAACCUGCUGUGAGCCAGGGCCUGAUCCGAAUUCCAGAGUCUGGUCUCUCAGAUGGCACCCUGUGGCCCUGGUGGGCAGCGAGCCCAACCCUGUCAUGAGGACACCCGAGGAGGAUUCGCCCCCAGGCUGGUAAAAUGGCAGCUGCAGGGCUCCUGGGCUGCAGAGCCAAAGCAAGGCGCUAGGUCAGCGCCAUAAACCUAUGGGAGAGUCACCGGAUUUCAUGGGCCCACAGAUCAGCCCCCAGGACCUUCCUCCAGGAGGGCUGCCACUCAGUGGGCCUGGGCAGGGCUCGGGAUUCUGCAUCUCUCCAGCGGGGUGCUCCAGGCUGCUCCCCUGAACCAGGAGGGGGGCCCGUGGCAGCCAGCACACCUGUAGAACCCUCCUGGGAAAAUGCCCAAGGACACCUCGGAGAGAGGCCGUCCAGGUCCCCCAGGCCUGCUAAGAGGCCCCCUGUGACCACUUCUUUUGUCCUACACCAACUUCCAUACCUGAUGCCUUUUCUUCAAGCACCACCCCCUACUGAUGCCUAAGCGCUCAAGGCUCAUGCACUUGAGUCUUCCCCACCUGGGAGCAGGCGAGAGGCCAGACUCUUGCCCCUAGGAGCCUGGACUGGGCAGUUUCAUUCGUAUUUCAGGGUGCUGGAACUUGACUCCUGCUUCCUGAUCCCUGACUUUAGGCAGAAGAUGCAGGGUGGCCGCGGAGGUGACAUGGCAGCCGUGUGCAGCCCAGAACUCCAGCCAAUGAGUCAUGUGGAAAAGGGUGUUCGUGGCCCAGGCCACCGUCACCCACUCGGACAGCGUUUGUUGAGCAUCGACUACGUGUGGCGCACCCUUGUAGGCUGGGGGAGCUCAGCCGCGCGAGCGAGAGAUUCCCAAGUGAAGCAGAGUGGUCAGCCGAGGUCACACCGCAGGGACACUCACCGAGGAAGAAAGCUCUAACACAGAGUUUCGAUCUCCCUUAAUUGCAGUCCGGUCUUCAUCUUUGCAUCCUUUAUUUUUUUCUUUAGCACCUUGAAGAAUGGAGUAGGAAGAAAUGUCCCCUCCUUAAAAGGACUGAAGACUUAAUUAAAGCUCCGGCUGCCCAGGAGAGAGGAGGAAGUGGGUUUUCAGUCCUAGUGAAUUAGCCACCAAAGGUUUGUCACCAGGAGACUCCAGGAGAGAAGGCUCAGAGCAGGAGGGCGGGGGGAUUCCUGCUAGAAAUGAAGGACGUCCACCCAGGGGCAGGGGCGUCUGGGGCAGGCCCAGGAGGAGGAGCCUGGGAGAGGGGACUUCUGCUGCCACCCCCUGCCUUCUCCCCUCCCCCCCCGGGGUGGCCAAGCCUGAGAAGCACAGGGAGCAGGGGACAAGCUCCAGACUCCCGAGUGGCCAUCAAGAGUGACCAGGAGAGACUUUGAAGUAGCCGAUGUCCCUUCAGAGAAUCCAAGGGCGCUCUGGGGAGGGUUACCCAACUCUGCCUCUCUCAGUGGUCUUCAGAAGCCAUUUGAAAACAGAUAACGGCGCAGGUGAGUCCCGUCCCACGGCGGGGUCCCUGGAAGAUGGCCGCGUUCGUUCCAUGAGUGAAGGAAGAAUGAUUCCCCCUAUGAGGUCGGAGCUCCCGGUUGGGACAGAGAUGAGCUAGAGGGACACAGACACACAGCCCUCGGGCACAGGUGGCAGGUCCCAGGGAAAGGAGCCACUCCCAAGGAGGUGGGGCUGACUGCGAUCCCAGGGUCACGGGGCCACCGGGGCGCGUUUUCAGAGUGACGGGACAAAGGCAAAGCACUUUGGGCCUCGUGGGACGGGGAACGGAGGGAGGGCAAGUCAGUAGUUCGUAAGGGCUGGUCAGCGCGGUUGGUCAGUGGACGUCCAGAGCCCUCUUCAUGCCAAGGGCCCAAGGUGGUCUUUGGUGGUGAACUCGGUCCUUCCUGGUGGGCAGUGGGUAAGGUCACCUUUGGAAACGGAUGUCCGGCUCUGAGGCCAACACAGAAAGGCAGGGAGCCCUCCUGUGUCUGUGCCCGGGGAGAAGCCUUCAGCUCCAACCGUCCUCAGGCCGAGGUGGCCGCUCUGGGGUGGCUCAUCCGGGCCUCCUGCGCGUCUGUCGGGGAAGCCACCCGGGCGCUUCUCCCUGUCCCCGGGCCCGGCACUCCCCGAGACAAACCAUCUGAUUUUGCAUCGCUCGUGGGUGAAGUCCCGGACCUGUGGUCAUCUGUACGGGACUUGUUCUCACUUUCCAGAGGCGUCCUCCCCCACCGCAGCCCGCGGCCUGCACCCCACGCCCUUCCCUGACUGUCCCCCCUCUCCUCCAGGGGUUCUGAGACUUGGAGGGGGAAGAAUGGCCCCGACCUCCCCUCCGGGAGCUGAUGGCAGAACUCCUAGGGUGGACUUCACUAAGGCCAGGGCCUGGGACCCGGUGCUUGUCUGUGUCCUAGAGACAGGGUCGUCCAGGGUCAAGGGCUCGGGCCUCAGAGCCCCAAACCUGCUUCAGAUCCAAGUGUUCCCUUCUGUGUUGUGACACGCCGGGCACUUUGGUGAGUUGUCACCCCCUGUGAUCUAGCAAUGUUAAUAGAAGCUGCGCCAAUGCGAGGUGAGGACUCGGUCAACAAACGCCCGUAAGAUGCUCGGCCCCGGGGCUGGAACGGGGCACAUGACAGAUGCGGUUCUGUUGUCACCGUGCCUGUAUUGUCCACAGUCUCCUCCGGCACUCCCCCCGGGGCUGCCUGGCCGCUGGUUUGGGCUGGGAUCCCCCAAUUCCUCCCGGUCUCCCCCUCUACAGGUGCUCUGGGCUGGCAGCCUCCUGCAAGGGUCGUGGCUACUCCUGAGCAGCCCACGUCGCCUCCAUGUCCCCAGAACCGCCCUCCCCUUUCCAGGCCCAUCCAGCGUCAGGGUGGUGAGGUCACCUGUUUCUGCCCUGGCUCCUGCGUAUCCACCGUGCGCCUACACCCCACCCAGCCCUCUGUAGAGAGCGUCACCUGUCCCCACAACGCGGUCACUCUCGUGGCUACUCUUCACUCCCUCGUGUCCCUCUCUGCCCUGGCGUGGUGAGCAGAGUUCCCCCUGAGCCUGCUGGACCGCGGGCAGCUGGAGUCCUCUCUCCAGCUGCCUCUGAGAUGUCACCCCUCGGCAGCCCUCACUCCACUGUCCACCCAAGAGGCUGCCUUCCUUUUGGUGACUGACCCCAAACAUAGAGCACGGGGGACAGAAGAGUUGGCGGGACGAGGGGCCCACCCCAGCCCAGUCUGCAGAAACAGACCUUAAUAAAGCAAUCGUGACUACUUCCUCACAACUGUCAUCCCUGACCCCAAAUCGAUCUUUGCUAAAAGGGUACAAGAACGUCAAGCCAAAGGGCUUCUUGGAAUUUCACUCCUCUCCGAUGGACUCCGUUGCUUGUGAUAUCUAAUUCACACCCGGGGCCUUUUCCAUUGUCAGUCUUCUUAGUUUAAUUCACACCCCCCUGUGACGGAACCUGAAAGCUUAAGGAAGAGUUUCCUGCACAGUGCCAGGUCCCUGCCGGCAUCUCGGAGUCCAGGUGGGGGCCCGUGCAGCGAGGCAUUUGGAGGAAGCUUCAACCCCGUACUUCAGAAAUGAGCGCCCUGGAUCCUGCAAGCCUGCCCCUGCCAAGCCAGCGAGCAGCCCAUUCCCCAGCUGUACACCACCGAGGACCCCAUCUGUGCCACCCGGAGCUGAGGGACACUCUGCAGAGCCCUGACCUGCGAAAUCACGAUGCCCAAUUCACAGCCGCUGCGCCCCGGUGCCUGGCUCUGGGUGACUCUGCACACCCUGAAGUUACCAGAUACCCCCCACCCCCGCCCGCCUGCAGCCCUGUCCUUGGCUCCGGGGGCAGUUAGUGGAGAGUGACCCACCGCUGCCCUGGGGUCUCCUCGCCGGCUUCUCAUCUCCGAAUCUCAGCCCCUGCCCCUUCCAAGGUUCAACACAGCGUUUCCCUCGAGGCCAGAAAGGCACCACCAAGGAAUGCAGCAGGUGCUCACAAGCCGGCAGUGGCUUCUGAAGGUGCAGAAUAGGACACACGUCCACAGCAGGCACACAAGUGCGUCUUCCCCACGUCUGAAGAACCGAAUGCACGGAGGGCGGGUGUGUUGGUCAGGAUUCUCCAGAGAGAACUGAUACGACGGAGAGGCGGAGGCUGGCCGGAGGCCCAGGGAGGCUGGAGGCCGCAGAACCGGGGGGCGCUGCUGUCUGGCCUGCCUUCCUCCUUUUCGUUCCAGCCAGGACCCCAGACAACGAGGGUGGGUGUCCCCUCAGUCUGCACGCUCCACGCCAACCUCCUCUGGCAAUGUCCUCAAACGUCCAGGCACACCUGGGCAGCCCGGUCAUUCGAGUCGAACCCAGACCACCGUGUUUCCCUGGCGGUGAGAGCAGGGUGGACUCGGGGCCUGCGGAAGCCCAGGGAGCAAACACCCUUCCCACCUCUAAGUGUCCUUGGAUCCGGGCAAGUCCACACCCCCAGGCGGCUGUCCCCUGGGGCGGCGGUGGGAGCCUUGGGUUUGCGGUCAGACGGCUGGAGCCUGAUUUCUAGUUUCUGAGGGGCCUGGACCACCACUUGGCCUCUGCCCACCCUGCUUCCUCUUCAGCACAGCGAGGGGACAGCCAUUGAGGAGACCGCGAGAUGUGGGUGCGUGAUACAGGCUCAGGAGAGGAGCCGUCUUACCGUGGCAGACGCCAGGUGCCUGGGUUGCAGGGAGCUCAAGGUGCAGCCCCAGCCCUGCUGGCCCGGCCGAGAGCCCUGAGCCCCGCACCAGGAGCCGCCAGCUGCCCCCCGGGCUGCGCUGGAGCAGGACGCCCUGUUGGGUUACCUCCCACUGCAUCCUAAGAGCCGGCUGACAUUGUCCCUGUUGUCUCUGGUGGCCCUCCAAGUCCUCACCUGA